rnacentral:lncRNA from 1 species
UAUCUACAUCAGCAUGUAUUCUUAAGUUAUGUUGGUUCGAUAUAUUGAAAGAAUUUCAGAUAAUCGACCAAUGGAAGCUGAAUAUGCUAUGGAUGUGUAGGAUGCAUUCUAGUUCUUAUGAUACUUAUGGAAUUGGAUGUCAUACCAUUAGAUGCUAUGAUAUUGUAUUGUAAAGAAAAUGAUCCAUAGCCCUCACUAAGGAGGCA